rnacentral:rRNA from 1 species
ACUAAAUAGAUACCCAGGUAGUCCACGCCCUAAACGAUGUCUACUAGUUGUUGGUGAGUAAAAUCCAUGAGUAAACGCAGCUAAACGCGUGAAGUAGACCGCCUGGGGAGUACGGUCGCAAGAUUAAAAACUCAAAGGAAUUGACGGGGGCCCGCACAAGCGGUGGAUUAUGUGGAUUAAAUUCGAUGCAACGCGAAAAACCUUACCUGGCCUUGACAUGCCACUAACGAAGCAGAGAUGCAUUAGGUGCCCGUAAGGGAAAGUGGACACAGGUGCUGCAUGGCUGUCGUCAGCUCGUGUCGUGAGAUGUUGGG